ACAAGGGAAGUCUUAGCAUAAAUAACUAUAACUAUUACCCGUCGUACUGUAGGAAACAUAAAAUCAUCAUGCCUGAAAAAUUGGAAAUUGAACUGAUGGCGGAACUCAUAAAUACAGUAUUUUCCUGCCAAUCUAACAAACAAAUGCUUGAAUAUGAAGUUUAAAGCAUCUUCAACUAAAUGUGUUCCAUACUCUAGCAUUUCACACAACAUUAAAAAGACCUUCCAUCUUUCUUGACUACUCAAAUACCCAUCAUCUGGAUGCAAUACCUCUCCAACUCACAAGAACUUUGCUUCUUCUUCAGCCCACAUGUCUCUCUUUGUGAUGUAAGCCUGUGAUGACGUUCCAUUACAUGAAGUAGUACACACAACCGAAUCAGCAGCAACAAAAUUUGAAGCACUGUACAAGUAUUGACAGUUGGUGUGGUUGUAAAAAAAAUAGUUGUAAAAUGAUACUUUAAAUAUAUGUAAUGCCAGCUUCCUCAAGCACUUUAAAUAUAUGUAAUGCCAGUUGGUGUGGUGUUUAUAGACAUUUAUUUAUUUGUUUAUUUUUCUACAAUUCAGAUUUGUGAGUCAACUAUCAGCAGUUCCUUUAGUUGCCUUAUCCGGAUUUGGCCUCUAUGAGUUAGGCUUUCUCAGUGUUGCCAAGUGUAUUGAGAUUGAGCUUCCACAUAUAAUUCUGUUGAUAAUCUUUUCCCAGGUGACUGGAAACCAAGUUGCAAAAAUCACCUUUCAUAACGCUGUGAUUAGAGUCUGUAGCUGGCAUCCAUACUACCAUAUGCUUGUGAGCUAUUCUUGGGAUUGUCAAAUUGCUAGAUGGCAAUUCUAGGGUUCUGAUGCAAUUCCUUCCGUUAUUGACAAUAAACGCCAUCGAAGGCAACAGCCUGAGCAAAGGACACUUCCCUGAUGCUUUGCGCUCUUCCUCGAGUUUCUGUUUGUUAUUUAUAAUAUCUCUUGGCAUUUAUAAUUUCUCAUGACAUGGUGCAAAUUCUUUGAUCAGAAGAGACACUGACAAAGGGGAUCAACGUCAUGUAUUGCGAGAUCUUUAUCAUCUAGACUACCCUAGCUGAUGAGACCUCAAUUCCUUUGUAAAGAAUAUUUAAGUAUGAUUAUGGUGUAAAUAUUUGUAUGCAUCUUCUCUA